rnacentral:lncRNA from 1 species
CUCUGUUUGCAUGCCUCCCUUAUAACAUCAUCCGAGCAGCUGAAAUCCUCCACAGCAUAUGCUUAUUGGCUUUGCUUUCCUUGAGUGGGUUGUUCUGAUUUAUGUUGUGGAAAAUUUAAAACUAUGGCUGCCUUUAUUUUGAUGCUGUUAUAAAAGACGGCGUUCAGGGUGCAGUGAGUCGGUCAUCGAAUGUUAAUAUUCGAGCUACAACUCGUCGGUGAGGAUCUUCCACGCUCGGGGUCUGCUCAACUGGGAACUCAAGAAUCAAGAUUAGUUUUGCAGUACUCACUGGGAUCAUCGUAUGAACAGGAAUCACCUUGAAGGUAUUUGUUUUUAUUUAUAGCUUAGUUUACUAUGCUUCUAUUAUUUACACUAGCAUAGAGAUUCACUUGCAAAGAAACUACAUAAAGAGUAAUAUUCAGAUAGUAGAUGAGGGCUUCAAGAAAACUUAGAACUAUUCACUAGCAGAUGAGAUGGACUAGAUCCAGAAUCCUGCACACAAGAUCCAUCUAUAUAUUCAUAACACAAUAAAGAGAUAGAUCCGCGUGCGUGUGUAUACAUGCAGGAAAAGUAUACAAACCAGAUAAACAGGCCAUGAGAAGCAGAGUGACGAGGAGAGGGAGGAAUGAUCGGAAACCUAUGGGAUGGGUGGAGUAGGGAAAAUAACAAGUAGCAUCUCACAAAUCAAAGUUAUCUUCCCCGCUCACCCACCCGAUAACCUUCCGAAAAUCCUACUCCCUCUCCAUUUCCUCCCAUAUAUGUUGACUUACAAGCGGCUACCGAAGCAGUCAUGAACACUUAUUCUGGCCUUCCAUCCUUUUAUAUUGUGUUGCCAAUUCGCAACCCUAGCUACUUUAGUUUUUCACCGCCAGAUCAAGGGCAUCUCUUUGGGAAAACAAUGAUCUUGGCCGUUCAUUUCUACCUUUUAGUCAAUGAACAUGGAAUGCUUUGGCAGUUGCUUUUCACCUUUCCC